AAAUGAGAUGUACUGACACUUAUUCAAGGCCUAUAUAGGCAUACUGUAAUCUGAGCCAGUCAAGUUAAUUUAGAUAUGGUAUAGUAUGCACUUAAAACCUUUAAUGCCUUAAGGUUAAUGAAAAACAGCUUUAAAUAUUUGGUUUUAAUAACAGUACCAUACCAAUUUGAUUCUAUCAUUAAAAUAAAAAUCAUAGCUUCUACUACAAAUACUCUAAAGCUACCAAAGCAAACAAGGAGUAGAAAUACUUUUUAUUUCAAUAUCUGCCCCAAAAAUAAAUUUAUAAAAAAAAAAAGGGGGGGGGGA